UAUAAUGAUGCUUGUGGCCGGCGCACGCGUCCUUUUCCGGCCCGGGCUCUGAGAUCUGUUUGAAUGUGCAUAUAUUCGGUACUAUGUAAUUCUGUUGGUUGCCUUGUUGCUUUGAUUGUUGAUGCGAUUACCCAUGAAUGUCGCAGGUAUUCAAUUACAUAAAUGGGGGAGAGAGUAUCGGGGACAUUUAUACUCCUGCCUCUGUCCAUGAUGAAUUGGCGUUUUCAAUUAAAUCCGACAGUUUCUUGUUUGAUUUCGAAAUGUCUGCCACCAUCCCUCCGAGUCCGCGCCUCGGCCACUGUGAAACCCGAUCCGGCUGAGGUAUUUCGAUGCUGAGUUUGGACAAGUGCUUCCUAAGUAUUCAAUCAAUGAUUUCAUGGGUUUUUAGUUCCUCAUUGGCUGCUAGUUUUAAAGCUGUUUACUAAAGUUAUAUUGUCAAUUUAUUGACUGUGGGUGAAGUAUGGGUAACACAUAGGGUUUGACGUGCUCCGAAUAUCGAGGAAAGGGAGCGUAUUAUGUAUUAAUAGCAGCAUUUAAAAGUUUCUUGGGAUUGCCAUAGUUAUUCACAAUAAAAUUUCUUUUGUUUUUGUUCCUA
rnacentral:sRNA from 15 species